GGGGAAUAUCGGGCAAUGGGCGCAAGCCUGACCCAGCAACGCCGCGUGAAGGAAGAAGGCUUUCGGGUUGUAAACUUCUUUUCUUGGGGACGAAGAAAGUGACGGUACCCGAGGAAUAAGCGACGGCUAACGACGUGCCAGCAGCCGCGGUAAUACGUAGGUGGCAAGCGUUAUCCGGAUUUACUGGGUGUAAAGGGCGUGUAGGCGGGAGUGCAAGUCAGAUGUGAAAACUCAGGGCUCAACCCUGAGCCUGCAUUUGAAACUGUACUUCUUGAGUGCUGGAGAGGCAAUCGGAAUUCCGUGUGUAGCGGUGAAAUGCGUAGAUAUACGGAGGAACACCAGUGGCGAAGGCGGAUUGCUGGACGACAACUGACGCUGAGGCGCGAAAGCGUGGGGAGCAAACAGG
rnacentral:rRNA from 1 species